UUCCGUAGGUGAACCUGCGGAAGGAUCAUUACCUAGAGUUUGUAGACUUCGGUCUGCUACCUCUUACCCAUGUCUUUUGAGUACCUUCGUUUCCUCGGCGGGUCCGCCCGCCGAUUGGACAACAUUCAAACCCUUUGCAGUUGCAAUCAGCGUCUGAAAAAACAUAAUAGUUACAACUUUCAACAACGGAUCUCUUGGUUCUGGCAUCGAUGAAGAACGCAGCGAAAUGCGAUAAGUAGUGUGAAUUGCAGAAUUCAGUGAAUCAUCGAAUCUUUGAACGCACAUUGCGCCCCUUGGUAUUCCAUGGGGCAUGCCUGUUCGAGCGUCAUUUGUACCUUCAAGCUCUGCUUGGUGUUGGGUGUUUGUCUCGCCUCUGCGUGUAGACUCGCCUUAAAACAAUUGGCAGCCGGCGUAUUGAUUUCGGAGCGCAGUACAUCUCGCGCUUUGCACUCACAACGACGACGUCCAAAAGUACAUUUUUACACUCUUGACCUCGGAUCAGGUAGGGAUACCCGCUGAACUUAAGCAUAUCAAUAAGCGGAG
rnacentral:rRNA from 1 species